rnacentral:rRNA from 1 species
GACGAACGCUGGCGGCGUGCCUAAUACAUGCAAGUCGAGCGGAGCUGUUCCUUCGGGGACAGCUUAGCGGCGGACGGGUGAGUAACACGUAGGUAACCUGCCCACAAGACUGGGAUAACGUCCGGAAACGGAUGCUAAUACCGGAUACUUAUACUGGAACGCAUGUUCCAGUACGGAAAGGCGGAGCAAUCUGCCGUUUGUGGAUGGGCCUGCGGCGCAUUAGCUAGCUGGUGAGGUAAUGGCUCACCAAGGCGACGAUCAGUAGCCGGUCUGAGAGGAUGAACGGCCACACUGGGACUGAGACACGGCCCAGACUCCUACGGGAGGCAGCAGUGGGGAAUCUUCCGCAAUGGACGAAAGUCUGACGGAGCAACGCCGCGUGAGUGAAGAAGGCUUUCGGGUCGUAAAACUCUGUUGCCAGAGAAGAACGUCCGGUGGAGUAACUGCCACCGGAGUGACGGUAUCUGAGA